rnacentral:rRNA from 1 species
AGAGUUUGAUCCUGGCUCAGGAUGAACGCCGGCGGUGUGCCUAAUACAUGCAAGUCGAACGCGUUGGCCCAACUGAUUGAACGUGCUUGCACGGACUUGACGUUGGUUUACCAGCGAGUGGCGGACGGGUGAGUAACACGUAGGUAACCUGCCCCAAAGCGGGGGAUAACAUUUGGAAACAGAUGCUAAUACCGCAUAACAGUUUGAAUCGCAUGAUUCAAAUUUAAAAGAUGGUUUCGGCUAUCACUUUGGGAUGGACCUGCGGCGCAUUAGCUUGUUGGUAGGGUAACGGCCUACCAAGGCUGUGAUGCGUAGCCGAGUUGAGAGACUGAUCGGCCACAAUGGAACUGAGACACGGUCCAUACUCCUACGGGAGGCAGCAGUAGGGAAUCUUCCACAAUGGGCGCAAGCCUGAUGGAGCAACACCGCGUGAGUGAAGAAGGGUUUCGGCUCGUAAAGCUCUGUUGUUAGAGAAGAACGUGCGUGAGAGCAACUGUUCACGCAGUGACGGUAUCUAACCAGAAAGUCACGGCUAACUACGUGCCAGCAGCCGCGGUAAUACGUAGGUGGCAAGCGUUAUCCGGAUUUAUUGGGCGUAAAGCGAGCGCAGGCGGUUUGAUAAGUCUGAUGUGAAAGCCUUUGGCUUAACCAAAGAAGUGCAUCGGAAACUGUCAGACUUGAGUGCAGAAGAGGAUAGUGGAACUCCAUGUGUAGCGGUGGAAUGCGUAGAUAUAUGGAAGAACACCAGUGGCGAAGGCGGCUAUCUGGUCUGCAACUGACGCUGAGGCUCGAAAGCAUGGGUAGCGAACAGGAUUAGAUACCCUGGUAGUCCAUGCCGUAAACGAUGAGUGCUAGGUGUUGGAGGGUUUCCGCCCUUCAGUGCCGCAGCU